rnacentral:rRNA from 1 species
GACGAACGCUGGCGGCGUGCUUAACACAUGCAAGUCGAACGAUGAAGCUGGAGCUUGCUCCGGUGGAUUAGUGGCGAACGGGUGAGUAACACGUGAGAAAUCUGCCCUUGACUCUGGGAUAACUGCGGGAAACUGUAGCUAAUACCGGAUACUUUCCUCGGUGGGCAUCCACUGGGGAAGAAAGAAUUUCGGUCAAGGAUGAUCUCGCGGCCUAUCAGCUAGUUGGUGAGGUAAUGGCUCACCAAGGCGACGACGGGUAGCCGGCCUGAGAGGGUGACCGGCCACACUGGGACUGAGACACGGCCCAGACUCCUACGGGAGGCAGCAGUGGGGAAUAUUGCACAAUGGGCGCAAGCCUGAUGCAGCAACGCCGCGUGAGGGAUGAAGGCCUUCGGGUUGUAAACCUCUUUUAGCAGGGAAGAAGCGAAAGUGACGGUACCUGCAGAAAAAGCACCGGCUAACUACGUGCCAGCCGCCGCCGUAA